rnacentral:rRNA from 1 species
GGAGUUAGCCGGUGCUUCUUCUGUGAGUGAUGUCCUUCCUGCCGGUUAUUGACCCGCAGGCCUUCUUCCUCACUGAAAGUGCUUUACAACCCGAAGGCCUUCUUCACACACGCGGCAUGGCUGGAUCAGGGUUGCCCCCAUUGUCCAAUAUUCCCCACUGCUGCCUCCCGUAGGAGUCUGGGCCGUGUCUCAGUCCCAGUGUGGCUGAUCAUCCUCUCAGACCAGCUACGGAUCGUCGCCUUGGUGAGCCGUUACCUCACCAACCAGCUAAUCCGACAUAGGCUCAUCCGAUAGCGCGAGGCCCGAAGGUCCCCCGCUUUCCCCCGUAGGGCGUAUGCGGUAUUAGCCUGGGUUUCCCCAGGUUAUCCCCCACUACCGGGCAGAUUCCUAUGCAUUACUCACCCGUCCGCCGCUCGCCACCAGGGAGCAAGCUCCCCGUGCUGCCGCUCGACUUGCAUGUGUUAGGCCUGCCGCCAGCGUUCAAUCUAAGCCAGAAUCGAACCCUGA